UACCCUUGACAUGGUCGGAAUCCCGGAGAGAUUCGGGAGUGCUCGAAAGAGAACCGGCGCACAGGUGCUGCAUGGCUGUCGUCAGCUCGUGUCGUGAGAUGUUGGGUUAAGUCCCGCAACGAGCGCAACCCUUGUCAUUAGUUGCUACGAAAGGGCACUCUAAUGAGACUGCCGGUGACAAACCGGAGGAAGGUGGGGAUGACGUCAAGUCCUCAUGGCCCUUAUGGGUAGGGCUU
rnacentral:rRNA from 1 species